UAUUUUGAGAAGUACCCUGGGGGUCACAAUCUUUUGUGGGAAGUGGAGGGAGCAGGACAUUGGUUCCAGAGAACACCUAUUACCACUGUACUGCAAAGGCAAAAGCUCAAAAUUACAGCAGAGGUCUCUCAGAAAGAAAAUACAAGUUUCCAAGAGGAUUAUAUUCAACAGUCUGCAGCAGAAUCUGAAGCAAGUGGACGAAAGACUGAGCUAAAUACUGACUCUCAAAAAGGUACAGAAUCAGUAGAUGUCCAUGCAACCACA